GGUUGUAUGGAGUAGUUGGUUAACUUAGGAGAUUCUGAUUAGUGGCGUCGUAAGAUGUCCAGCAUCUGACCUUCUCUUGCCCUGGGUUCGAAUCCCAGUACGACCU